AGUGAACGCUGGCGGUAGGCCUAACACAUGCAAGUCGAACGGCAGCACAGUAAGAGCUUGCUCUUACGGGUGGCGAGUGGCGGACGGGUGAGGAAUACAUCGGAAUCUACUUUUUCGUGGGGGAUAACGUAGGGAAACUUACGCUAAUACCGCAUACGACCUACGGGUGAAAGCAGGGGAUCUUCGGACCUUGCGCGAUUGAAUGAGCCGAUGUCGGACUAGCUAGUUGGCGGGGUAAAGGCCCACCAAGGCGACGAUCCGUAGCUGGUCUGAGAGGAUGAUCAGCCACACUGGAACUGAGACACGGUCCAGACUCCUACGGGAGGCAGCAGUGGGGAAUAUUGGACAAAGGGCGCAAGCCUGAUCCAGCCAUACCGCGUGGGUGAAGAAGGCCUUCGGGUUGUAAAGCCCUUUUGUUGGGAAAGAAAAGCAGCAGGUUAAUACCCCGCUGUUCUGACGGUACCCAAAGGAUAAGCACCGGCUAACUUCGUG
rnacentral:rRNA from 1 species